rnacentral:RNase_P_RNA from 1 species
AGGAAAGUCUAGUCCCUUAUAAAUAAACGUAUGGUGUUGUGAAAACGAUAGCGUUAGCGCUUAGGUAAGCGGGUGGGAUCACAGGUCUUAUUUCUCUCGCAGCGAGAACGAAAGCGUUUGCCCCUCCGGAGUUUGCUUGAGGACAAGGUUUGAUAUGUUGAAUAUCGCUCGAUUUUGUCUAGAAAGAAUUGCCGCGGGGUGUUACUUCACUCAACUAAACUUGGCUUACCGCU